rnacentral:lncRNA from 1 species
GGAGGCCGCCGAGGACGACGGUGUCGCUACUGCCGAGCGGGGUGGCAGGGGCGGCGGUGGCGCAGAGGGCGAAGAAGCCGGUGCCGUGGAAGACGAGGCGGGGGAUGCCGAGCUCCUCGGCUACGGGGAUUGUCCAGGGGAAGAAAUAGUCGGAGACGACGGCGUCGACCGGGCGUAUCUCGCGGAGCAGGCGGCUAAAAGGCUCACGGAGUCCAGGCACGGCGACCAUGAACCUUCACGAAUAGAUAAUUUAUUACUAAUUUUUUUGUUCGCUCUGAUAUCACGUAGAGAAACUGAGUAUAGAAACCUGUUAACGGAGUCUAAGUCGGAGAGUUCGGCAAUGUUCUCGAUGCCGGGCGGGAGGCCGGUGAGGGCAGGGGAGGGGAAGGGGAGGAUGCGGAGGCUGAUGUUGGCGCCGGGGAGGCGGCGGGAGUCGAUGAGGGGGGCGUUGGCGGGGGUGGCGACGAUGGUGGUGGCGACGCCGCCGCGGGCGGCGAAGAGGUUGGCCAUGUCCACCAUGGGAGGCAUGUGGCCCGUAGCCAUGAAAGGGAAGAACACGACGUGCAGGGGACGUCGAGCUAAAUAAUCCGAGCUCUCCAUGGUCACUGUUGUAUGUAAUUUCACACACACAGACACUCUCUCUCUCUCUCUCUCUCUCUCUCUCUCUCUCUCUCUCUCUCACGUGUGUGUGCUAUGCAGUAUUACAAUGGGAGUGAGUAAUAAUGGAGCCUCUCUCAGCAGUGUCGGGAUUCGUUGCAUAUAGUUAUGGGAAAACUUAUAGUUAUAGUUAUAAUAAUACUGAAAUAGUUAAUAUAUAUAAAUUUAAAAUGUUUAUCAUUUGGUUUGAUAAUUAUAAAUAAAAGAUAAGCUCACUUAAUUAAUCACAUGUUAAUAUAAAAAAUGGCUAAAUUACAGAAAAUUUCCUAUCAAAAUCAAAAUUUUCACUUUACUACGUGUCAUUUAAAAACCUACACUUUGCCCCCCUAAAAUAUGAAAAAUAUUCACAGAAGUAGGGUGUUAAUAGUAUUGAUAAAAUGACCAAAAUGCUCUCUCUCUCUUCCUCUCCUCCUCGAACCCUCCUUUAUUUGUAGAAGGGUAUUUUCGGUAUAAAAUAAUAUGUAAUAAUGGGAUAUAGAUGGAACUCUAACGGAACACUGACGGCGGGAUCCAAAGUGAGUAUAUUUUAUUUUUUAGAGGGGUAAAGUGUAGGUUUUUAAAUGACAGAGAGGAAAAGUAAAAAAUCGAUUUUUGAUCGGGGAGUUUUCUGUAAUUUAGUCUACAAAAAUAUAUUUUUUAUUAGAGAUAAUUUUAACAUUAUAUAUGGAGUUGAGUCGAAAUAUUACUAAUAGUAUUUAGCUUCUUUUGCUAUCGAUUUUUUAGUCGUUAGAUCUACAUUUUAAUCAAUUUCCAUACUUUUCAACCGGCCACCUACUCAACCAUAGGAGGACCACCACUAAAUUCUAGGAAACCGCUAUCAUCCUAAUCCUGACUAUCAUCCUAAUCCUGUAAUUUUUUAUUAAAGAGUUAAAAACUCGAUAAUAAAAAAGUCCAAGUAUUAUUAAUAGUAUUUCAGUCCAAGGGCUAAAAAUGUAAGGUUGGGAUGAUUGUGGUAGGUGGUGAUAGGUGAUGGUAGGUGGAAUAAUAUUUGAUUCAAGGGCUAUUAAUAAUCAAGGAGUAGAUCCAAGGGCUAAAAAUCUAGAAGCAUCAAAGAGGUAAUACUUCUAAAGUAUUCUAACUCAAUUAUAUAUACACACACGAGUAUGGUAGUCCUACUCUAUAUCAGAGAUAUGUUUAUUAUUUAUAUCAACACAUCAAUUGCAUAUAACAACAAUAAUUCACGGAACCUGUAACAGUAUUAACAAGCAAAACAGCCUUGAUUUCUCAGCCCCAAUAUUAUAAAGAUGUUUGAGAAAUCUGUAACGUUCAGGGGCCAUUUGUUUUGGUAAAAGUGGAGAGGUAGAACUCAAAUUUUAUUAUUUUCGAUAUUUAUUUUAGUAUAAAUUAAAAAAAUAAUAUAACUCAAGUUAUGUUAGACCUUCACUUUAUCUACUUCUGACUUUUUUUUCUAGAGUAUCGAACUCACCAUCAUACUCAUUUUUUUCUAAAAAAUUUAUUAAAUAUUAAAAUCUAAACUCCACUUCCUUUAAAUUGAGUUAGAGUUCUUUUUUUAAAAAAAUGAAGAUUACUUCCAAACAAUAAUGAAAAAUGUUAUUAUUUAAUGGGUUGGAUUUUAUAGGGAUAAGUUUGCCACUAUGGGCCUGUUUGGCCUAGCUUCUGAAGAAGUGAUUUCUGAAAAAAUAAUUUUGGUUUGGAUAAAUGAUUUUGGUUAAAAGCGAGGCCAAACACCCCCUAUAUUUAGUAGAUAACGUGAUCCGCUUACUUACAUCAAAAUAAAGAAUGAAACUCAAAAAAUUAAUUUCAUCAGUAUUAAGUUGCAUCAAAAUAAACAGAAAAGAUAAUUAAAUUUAACUUUUAGACUGUAUAAGUUAUAUCAAAACAA